AUGAACGCUGGCGGCGUGCCUAAUACAUGCAAGUCGCGCGAACAGACGAGGAGCUUGCUCCUCUGACGUUAGCGGCGGACGGGUGAGUAACACGUGGAUAACCUACCUAUAAGCCUGGGAUAACUUCGGGAAACCGGAGCUAAUACCGGAUAAUAUAUUGAACCGCAUGGUUCAAUAGUGAAAGACGGUUUUGCUGUCACUUAUAGAUGGAUCCGCGCCGCAUUAGCUAGUUGGUAAGGUAACGGCUUACCAAGGCGACGAUGCGUAGCCGACCUGAGAGGGUGAUCGGCCACACUGGAACUGAGACACGGUCCAGACUCCUACGGGAGGCAGCAGUAGGGAAUCUUCCGCAAUGGGCGAAAGCCUGACGGAGCAACGCCGCGUGAGUGAUGAAGGUCUUCGGAUCGUAAAACUCUGUUAUUAGGGAAGAACAAAUGUGUAAGUAACUAUGCACGUCUUGACGGUACCUAAUCAGAAAGCCACGGCUAACUACGUG
rnacentral:rRNA from 1 species